rnacentral:rRNA from 1 species
UACGAAGGGUGCAAGCGUUACUCGGAAUUACUGGGCGUAAAGCGUGCGCAGGCGGUUUUGUAAGUUUGUCGUGAAAUCCCCGGGCUCAACCUGGGAAUUGCGAUGAAGACUGCAAGGCUAGAAUCUGGCAGAGGGGGGUAGAAUUCCACGUGUGAGCAGUGAAAUGCGUAGAGAUGUGGAGGAACACCGAUGGCGAAGGCAGCCCCCUGGGUCAAGAUUGACGCUCAUGCACGAAAGCGUGGGGAGCAAACAGG